rnacentral:tRNA from 1 species
GCCUGGGUGGCUGUUGGUUAAGCAACUGACUUUGGCUCAGGUCAUGGUCUCAGGUGCAUGAGUUCGAGUCUUGCUUCAGGUG